rnacentral:rRNA from 1 species
UACAGAGGUCUCAAGCGUUGUUCGGAUUCAUUGGGCGUAAAGAGCGUGUAGGCGGCUAGGUAGGUCCGUUGUGAAAACUCGAGCUCAACCUCGAGACGCCGGUGGAAACCAUCUAGCUAGAGUCCGGAAGAGGAGAGUGGAAUUCCUGGUGUAGCGGUGAAAUGCGCAGAUAUCGUAAGGAAGACCAGUGGCGAAGGCGGGUCUCUGGACAGUUCCUGACGCUGAGGCACGAAGGCCAGGGGAGCAAACGGG